GAUGAACGCUGGCGGCGUGCCUAAUACAUGCAAGUCGAGCGAACGGACGAGAAGCUUGCUUCUCUGAUGUUAGCGGCGGACGGGUGAGUAACACGUGGAUAACCUACCUAUAAGACUGGGAUAACUUCGGGAAACCGGAGCUAAUACCGGAUAAUAUUUUGAACCGCAUGGUUCAAAAGUGAAAGACGGUCUUGCUGUCACUUAUAGAUGGAUCCGCGCUGCAUUAGCUAGUUGGUAAGGUAACGGCUUACCAAGGCAACGAUGCAUAGCCGACCUGAGAGGGUGAUCGGCCACACUGGAACUGAGACACGGUCCAGACUCCUACGGGAGGCAGCAGUAGGGAAUCUUCCGCAAUGGGCGAAAGCCUGACGGAGCAACGCCGCGUGAGUGAUGAAGGUCUUCGGAUCGUAAAACUCUGUUAUUAGGGAAGAACAUAUGUGUAAGUAACUGUGCACAUCUUGACGGUACCUAAUCAGAAAGCCACGGCUAACUACGUGCCAGCAGCCGCGGUAAUACGUAGGUGGCAAGCGUUAUCCGGAAUUAUUGGGCGUAAAGCGCGCGUAGGCGGUUUUUUAAGUCUGAUGUGAAAGCCCACGGCUCAACCGUGGAGGGUCAUUGGAAACUGGAAAACUUGAGUGCAGAAGAGGAAAGUGGAAUUCCAUGUGUAGCGGUGAAAUGCGCAGAGAUAUGGAGGAACACCAGUGGCGAAGGCGACUUUCUGGUCUGUAACUGACGCUGAUGUGCGAAAGCGUGGGGAUCAAACAGGAUUAGAUACCCUGGUAGUCCACGCCGUAAACGAUGAGUGCUAAGUGUUAGGGGGUUUCCGCCCCUUAGUGCUGCAGCUAACGCAUUAAGCACUCCGCCUGGGGAGUACGACCGCAAGGUUGAAACUCAAAGGAAUUGACGGGGACCCGCACAAGCGGUGGAGCAUGUGGUUUAAUUCGAAGCAACGCGAAGAACCUUACCAAAUCUUGACAUCCUUUGACAACUCUAGAGAUAGAGCCUUCCCCUUCGGGGGACAAAGUGACAGGUGGUGCAUGGUUGUCGUCAGCUCGUGUCGUGAGAUGUUGGGUUAAGUCCCGCAACGAGCGCAACCCUUAAGCUUAGUUGCCAUCAUUAAGUUGGGCACUCUAAGUUGACUGCCGGUGACAAACCGGAGGAAGGUGGGGAUGACGUCAAAUCAUCAUGCCCCUUAUGAUGUGGGCUACACACGUGCUACAAUGGGCAAUACAAAGGGCAGCGAAACCGCGAGGUCAAGCAAAUCCCAUAAAGUUGUUCUCAGUUCGGAUUGUAGUCUGCAACUCGACUACAUGAAGCUGGAAUCGCUAGUAAUCGUAGAUCAGCAUGCUACGGUGAAUACGUUCCCGGGUCU
rnacentral:rRNA from 1 species